CUGUGAUUCGUGCAGUGAAGCCGCGAGUUUUGUGCAGGAUAGCUUCAGGAGGUCUCAACUCUCCGCUAAAGGCUCCACGUCUGAGUUGGACAGGGGAUCUUGACAGUUUAUCCUCGCACGCUGCCAGAUCUAUCUUUCCAGCUCACGCGUGGAACCGCCCCAUCGUAAUAUCCACCACCAUCAAGAAGACACGAGUGAAGAAAAAGCGUGAAGGACUAAGUGGAGGUGUGAUCUCUUCACUUUUUAUGCUUAAAGUGAGAUUCAACUCCUCCAACUUAACUCUGAAACGCACAAUCUACGCGUCGACGAAGACUGAAAUGACUAACUAAUUAAUAAUUGAUUAUGUAUAAAAUUGAAUCAUCAUUAUUUGGAAUUUUAUGUAUAUAUGAUUUUUAUUAACUUAUUAAUCAUAAUUAGUGCUCUUAUCAAUAUAUUUUUGCCAUUAAAUAUGUAUCUUAUCCAGAGUGAAACAGCGAUUUUGAUAGUUAGAUAAAUAGAUAUGUGAUAAAUAACCAAUAAAAGAUACUUAAAUGUAAUUGUAAGACAUAUAUUUACAGAAAAAUAAAGUGUUUAAAAUAUAUAUCAAGAGGUUACCUAUUUAACUAAAAACCAAAGAGAA